rnacentral:rRNA from 1 species
GACGAACGCUGGCGGCGUGCUUAACACAUGCAAGUCGAACGGAAAGACCCUGCUUUUGUGGGGUGCUCGAGUGGCGAACGGGUGAGUAACACGUGAGUAACCUGCCCUUGACUUUGGGAUAACUUCAGGAAACUGGGGCUAAUACCGGAUAGGAGCUCCUGCUGCAGGGUGGGGGUUGGAAAGUUUCGGCGGUUGGGGAUGGACUCGCGGCUUAUCAGCUUGUUGGUGGGGUAGUGGCUUACCAAGGCUUUGACGGGUAGCCGGCGUGAGAGGGUGACCGGCCCCAUUGGGACUGAGAUACGGCCCAGUCUCCUACGGGAGGCAGCAGUGGGGAAUAUUGCACAAUGGGCGGAAGCCUGAUGCAGCAACGCCGCGUGCGGGAUGUCGGCCUUCGGGUUGUAAACCGCUUUCGCCUGUGACGAAGCGUGAGUGACGGUAAUGGGUAAAGAAGCACCGGCUAACUACGUG